GAUGAACGCUGGCGGCGUGCCUAAUACAUGCAAGUCGAGCGAACAGACGAGGAGCUUGCUCCUCUGACGUUAGCGGCGGAAGGGGGAGUAACACGUGGAUAACCUACCUAUAAGACUGGGAUAACUUCGGGAAACCGGAGCUAAUACCGGAUAAUAUAUUGAACCGCAUGGUUCAAUAGUGAAAGACGGUUUUGCUGUCACUUCUAGAUGGAUCCGCGCCGCAUUAGCUAGUUGGUAAGGUAACGGCUUACCAAGGCAACGAUGCGUAGCCGACCUGAGAGGGUGAUCGGCCACACUGGAACUGAGACACGGUCCAGACUCCUACGGGAGGCAGCAGUAGGGAAUCUUCCGCAAUGGGCGAAAGCCUGACGGAGCAACGCCGCGUGAGUGAUGAAGGUCUUCGGAUCGUAAAACUCUGUUAUUAGGGAAGAACAAAUGUGUAAGUAACUAUGCACGUCUUGACGGUACCUAAUCAGAAAGCCACGGCUAACUACGUG
rnacentral:rRNA from 1 species